rnacentral:rRNA from 1 species
AGGCUGACCUCAAAUCAGGUAGAGACUACCCGCUGAACUUAAGCAUAUCAAUAA